rnacentral:rRNA from 1 species
GACGAACGCUGGCGGCGUGCCUAACACAUGCAAGGUCGAACGGGGUCCAUGAGAGCUUGCUCUCGGAAGACCUAGUGGCGAACGGGUGGGUAACACGUGAGAAACCUGCCUCGGAGUGGGGAAUAACUCGGGGAAACUCGAGCUAAUACCGCAUACCUUCAGAUGAUCGCAUGGUCGACUGAAGAAAGAAUUUCGCUCUG